UACGGAGGGUGCAAGCGUUAUCCGGAAUCACUGGGCUUAAAGGGCGCGUAGGCGGGUUCUCAAGUCAGGGGUGAAAUCCCGCGGCUCAACCGUGGAAGUGCCUUUGAUACUGGGGACCUCGAGGGAGGUAGGGGCGUGCGGAACUUCCGGUGGAGCGGUGAAAUGCGUAGAUAUCGGAAGGAACACCGGUGGCGAAAGCGGCGCGCUGGACCUCUUCUGACGCUGAGGCGCGAAAGCCAGGGGAGCAAACGGG
rnacentral:rRNA from 1 species